ACGGAAGGCAGCAGUGAGGAAUAUUGGUCAAUGGGCGGAAGCCUGAACCAGCCAAGUCGCGUGAAGGAUGAAGGUAUUAUGUAUUGUAAACUUCUUUAGCUGUGGAGCAAUAAUCGCCAUGCAUGGCGAGAUGAGAGUACACAGAGAAUAAGGAUCGGCUAACUCCGUGCCAGCAGCCGCGGUAAUACGGAGGAUCCGAGCGUUAUCCGGAUUUAUUGGGUUUAAAGGGUGCGCAGGCGGCGUGCUAAGUCAGCGGUUAAAUAGUGAGGCUCAACCUCAUCCCGCCGUUGAUACUGGCAUGCUUGAUUGCGGUCGAGGUUGGCGGAAUUCGCCGUGUAGCGGUGAAAUGCAUAGAUAUGGCGAAGAACUCCGAUUGCGUAGGCAGCUGACCAGGCCGUAAAUGACGCUCAUGCACGAAAGUGCGGGGAUCGAACAGGAUUAGAUACCCUGGUA
rnacentral:rRNA from 1 species